AUUGAACGCUGGCGGAAUGCUUUACACAUGCAAGUCGAACGGCAGCACGGACUUCGGUCUGGUGGCGAGUGGCGAACGGGUGAGUAAUACAUCGGAACGUGCCCAGUCGUGGGGGAUAACGUAGCGAAAGCUACGCUAAUACCGCAUACGAUCUAAGGAUGAAAGCGGGGGAUCGCAAGACCUCGCGCGAUUGGAGCGGCCGAUGGCAGAUUAGGUAGUUGGUGGGGUAAAGGCCUACCAAGCCGACGAUCUGUAGCUGGUCUGAGAGGACGACCAGCCACACUGGGGCUGAGAAACGGCCCAGACUCCUACGGGAGGAAGCAGUGGGGAAGUUUGGACAAUGGGCGAAAGCCUGAUCCAGCCAUUCCGCGUGCAGGAUGAAGGCCCUCGGGUUGUAAACUGCUUUUGUACGGAACGAAAAGGCUCUGGUUAAUACCCGGGGCUCAUGACGGUACCGUAAGAAUAAGCACCGGCUAACUACGUGCCAGCCGCCGCAGUAA
rnacentral:rRNA from 1 species